GGUCUGAGUCACCUCCACAAUCUAAGAUUUUGGUCACAGAAGGGUGGUUUUGUCAUUAAUGAUGAUGGGAAGUAGUUGGUGCUGUAUGUUUCGAUUAAAAAUUCUGCUAGACAGUUGGGUAGAGUUAGGGAAGUCUGGCAUCCAGUAGGAGUAUCAAUCUCCUCACCUUCAAGUGGUCAAUCAGCCAAGGAGCAAUAGCAGACGAUGGGCUCUGAGGACAGUAAAUCUCAACAAAUUGGAGACUCUUCUCAACACUCAGGUACUCAUAGUUUUUAUCUCUCUAAAC
rnacentral:lncRNA from 1 species